AAUGCAUUCUUUGGGCUGCCUCCGUUAAUAUUGAUCAUCGGUGGCACUCUUAGAAUGCAUGGC
rnacentral:pre_miRNA from 1 species